rnacentral:rRNA from 1 species
UACGUAGGGGGCAAGCGUUGUCCGGAUUUAUUGGGCGUAAAGAGCGUGUAGGCGGCUAGGUAGGUCCGUUGUGAAAACUCGAGGCUCAACCUCGAGCUGUCGAUGGAAACCAUCUGGCUAGAGUCCGGAAGAGGAGAGUGGAAUUCCUGGUGUAGCGGUGAAAUGCGCAGAUAUCAGGAAGAACACCUAUGGCGAAAGCAGCUCUCUGGGACGGUACUGACGCUGAGACGCGAAAGCGUGGGGAGCGAACAGG